UCGGGUGGUCGUCUCCGUAGAGAUGAGCGGAACAACGGCACAUCCGGGGAUUCUGAGCAUACUCGGGCGGCGACUGAUGACGUUGACUGAUCGGGAUUGGGCUGUGGGUUUGUUACAGUUGUCGGCUUUUCUAACUUCGACGAAACACCAGCUGACGUGUGCUGGUGGUAAAUUGUUUUUGUUUAGGUGUUUUUUAUUGUUGUUGUUGUUUUUUGCUUAGGUUAUUUAAUCAGAAAAAGGUUAAUGUAACUUCGGAGGAAGAAGCGGCAGAGUUUGUUCAGGAAGUUUCGCAUUCAUUAAACUUCUCUUCAAACCAUGGCGUGCGCGGGGAACGGCAUGUCAGAUGAGAGAAUCGGGGAAGCCCUGAUCAAAGA